rnacentral:lncRNA from 1 species
GGGGUCUCGAUCGCGCUAUUGUCAUGGAGACGGGAAGCUGGCUGCAGCGGCGGCGGGGACCGUGGGGCCGAGGUGGCUGCCAGCCGGCCAAUGUCUAAGCGAGGCGGAGCGGCCCAGGCGGCCUGAGCCUGGGGGAGCGCGCAGCCGGCCAGUGGCGGCCUCGCCGGCGGCCUCUUCCCGGGCUCGCAGUAGGCCCGAGUUGUCGCCGGGAGCUCCCGGGAGCAGCGUCCACGCCCUGCUCCCCUCGCUCCCGCCUCUUGCGGCCCCACGGCCCCUCAGCGCCCGCCCCCGGCUCCGCCCGCCGCAGCCGCAGCCCCUGGCGCUAACGGUCGGUAACGGCCCGCGCGCGCCGCCCGCCGGGGGCUCGCGCCAGCCACGAGGGAGCGUCCGCGGCCCGCGCGCCCGCGCGGCGGAGGAGAGGUGUUAAGUGUGAUGCUUCCAUAAUACAUUUGGAUGUUGUCAGCUAAGUUCACUUCUGAAC